rnacentral:rRNA from 1 species
GACGGAGGAUGCAAGUGUUAUCCGGAAUCACUGGGCGUAAAGCGUCCGUAGGUGGUUCGAAAAGUCCACUGUUAAAAAUUGAAGCUUAACUUCAAAGAUGCCGUGGAAACUUUCAAACUAGAGUGUGGUAAGGGUAGAGGGAAUUUCCAGUGGAGCGGUGAAAUGCGUAGAUAUUGGAAAGACCACCGAUGGCGAAGGCACUCUACUGGGCCAUUACUGACACUGAGAGACGAAAGCUAGGGGAGCAAAUGGG